ensembl:lncRNA
CGUGAAGAGAGCGGGCAUUUGUGUAACUGUGAUGCUUUGCUUGGAUCUUCCGGACAGGUGUGGAUGGCUUACCCGGAGACGUGGGACCUCCCGGAAGCCCAGGCCGCCCGGGAUUUAACGGCUUGCCUGGCAGCCCAGGUGUACCCGGCCAGAAGGUGGGUUCUGAGCACCCCAGCUGCUGCUUCCUCACCCCGGGAAUCCACAGGACCCCCGAAGUGUUGGUUACUUACCUGUGGGGACAGUCCGGGGCUGGGUAGAAAAGCCCAGAGCACUCAGCACCUGGCAGGACAGGUUGGAGGGAACUGGGGUUUGAUUUUAUGAAGCAUCUGCUUUGGUUCCUGCCGCAUCCUUGCGGGUGUGUCAUGGGUCUCAGCCAGAACCGCUGCUCACGGAGUAUUGAGUGAGCAGCUGUUUGAGAGCCGCUGUCGUAAAAGAUACUGCGUGGUUUCUCUUAGGCAAGAAACUCACAGCAUAAAUAAUUUAAAGAGCAAAAUGAAAGCAGAUGAUAGGAGACAGGGAAACUGACUUCGGAGCUGGGAAGGAGACCUGGGAGGGGAAGUGGAAAGGAUCAGAUGCGAUGCGUAUCGGUCCUGGUUCCGAGGUGAAUGGGCUCUUGUGUAUGGCAGACCACACGGGGGAGGGAAGAAGCCUCAGUGCCGGGGUCGGAGCACCCGAGCGAGAGCAGCAGGUGGCUGAGUCACGACCCAGAAGGGCUUCCAAGAAGCCCUUGGGCUCCUUCCCCUUCCUGGGUUCCUGCUGGGUGUGUGGAGACCCUGCUGGGCCACUGGGCCAGGCUCUCUUAGUCUGUCCGCUGUCACUCUCAGUGACCUCAGGCAGCGCUGCCACAUUCUGCCCUCCUGCUCCCUUCAGCGGCCCACAUCCCAGCUGGCAAUGAGGCAUUGCAAAUGUCCUGUGGUCCUACAGAAUGCUUCCUUAUUCGUACUGCCACGUCUGGCAAAGCCUCCUGGUUCAGGCAGGGCUUCUGCAUGUUGAGUUUGCUGCUGGAGCCUCUCAGUUACACAGAAAACUGAAGGAGUGCUGUCGGGUUCCAGCCACCAGCUGGUCCCACGGCCCAGGUGGGGUCUUGUCGGGUACGGGGCUGGCUUUUCAUCAUGAGCAAGGGCUGUAGAGGCAAAGGCCAAGCUGGGUCUUGAUUUCCUCCCUGGCAAAAUGAGAACAAUAAAAGUCCCCUGCAUCUGGGGCUUGCAGGGAGAGUGACAGGAAGUGAUAGUGUGAGGAGGUGCUGUAGGCUUUUAUUUUCUGGUUCUGUCCCUCACACUGAGCCACAUCCCUGGCCCUGCUCAGUUUUGUUCUUUAUUUUGAGGCAGGGUCUCACUAAGCCCCCCAGAGGGCUGGGAUUUUGGCUGUGCACCAGCAUACCUGACUUGAAGCUUGGCAAGUGCCCGAGAAGCUUGAACAUACGCUGUUCUUACCAACACACUGGCGGCAUCAGUUCCGGCUCCACGGAUGCUGUCAGUGUGGUGACAGCACUGGUGUAGCCCAUUAACUGCCUUCUGUUUGGGGUUUUCAGGGAGAGCCUGGAGUAGGUCUCCCUGGGCUUAAAGGACUGCCCGGCCUUCCUGGCAUCCCUGGCACCCCUGGAGAGAAGGGCAGCAUCGGGGGACCAGGCAUCCCUGGGGAACACGGAGCGCUUGGCCCCCCUGGGCUUCAGGGCAUCAGAGGUGACCCCGGACCUCCUGGAGCACAGGGCCCCGCAGGCCCACCGGGGCCACCGGGCCUCGGUCCCCCUGGAGCCAUGGGACCCCCCGGAGGACAGGGCCUACCAGGGUCGUCAGGUGAUGCGAUGCUCCAGGGCGCAGUGGGUGGGCAGCGAUGCUGCCAUGCACAGGG